NCUCGGACCACCAUACCGGGGGGGAAACACCCGGUCCCAUUCCGAACCCGGAAGUUAAGCCCCCCAGGGCCGAUGAUAGCCUCGCCCCGAGCGAGGUGAAAGUAGGUCGUGGUCCGGGCAC
rnacentral:rRNA from 1 species